GGCCUACACAGGGUCAGGAUCAUCAAUGUCACUGUCUUCUACCCCCACAUCUUGUCCCACUGGAAGGUCUGAGGGGCAAUAAUAUGCAUUGUGCUGUCAUCCCCUGUCAUAGCAAUGCUUUCUUCUGGAAUACCUCCUGAAGGACCUGCCUGAAGCUCUUCUCCAGGAGGUGCCACUCUUUUCAGAAAUGUGUCCAUGGUAAUUUACCUGGUGGGUCUCAACCAAGAACCUAGAAGAGUAGAGGGACUUCCUCCCCCAGGAUCAGCCAAUUCCUAGAGAUAGGAAAACACUGGCCAGCAAGUGCAACUCUCCUAUACAAAGUAAUCAAUCAAGAGCUCACACUCCAGCCAUCUCUUUUUUUGGUUCUUGCACUGUGGGCCACUAUUCCCCUGCCUUAAUCACACCAGAGCCAGGAACCAAACAACUAAGGACAGCCCCUCUACCCCAGAGCCCACUGAAAUUAUUCAAACCGGCCAAUUCUAAACCUGCUUUCCCUGUCUUGCCCAUUACUUCCUGUGGAAACCACAAUAAAGGAUCUUGCC
rnacentral:lncRNA from 1 species